rnacentral:rRNA from 1 species
GACGAACGCUGGCGGCGUGCUUAACACAUGCAAGUCGAACGGAAAGGCCCUGCUUUUGUGGGUCGCUCGAGUGGCGAACGGGUGAGUAACACGUGAGUAACCUGUCCUUGACUUUGUGAUAACUUCAGGAAACUGGGGCUAAUACCGGAUAGGAUCUCCUGCUGCAUGGUGGGCGUUGGAAAGUUUCGGCGGUUGGGGAUGGACUCGCGGCUUAUCCGCUUGUUGGUGGGGUAGUGGCUGACCAAGGCUUUGACGGGUAGCCGGCCUGAGAGGGUGAACGGGCACAUGGGGACUGAGAUACGGACCAGACUCCUACGGGAGGCAGCAGUGGGGAAUAUUGCACAAUGGGCGGAAGCCUGAUGCAGAAACGCCGCGUGCGGGAUGACGGCCUUCGGGUUGUAAACCGCUUUCGCCUGUGACGAAGCGUGAGUGACGGUAAUGGGUAAAGAAGCACCGGCUAACUACGUG